rnacentral:lncRNA from 1 species
UUUUGUGAAAAGCAAAGCAGCACUGUCUUGCAUCAUGCCUAUACUUUCCAUUUCAGAACGAAGAGAGAACGUAAGGCCUUUGGCUUCCAGCACCCAGCUGGGUCACCUUGGGCAAGAGCGUGGUUACCACUGGUACAUAUAUGGGCCAUGAAAGAAGCCAGCUCUAGAAGGCGAGCCAGGCCAACAAGGAACCAUCUUCUGGAUAAUCUCGUUUGCCUUCAUUUACUGCAAGUUAACUGUUCUCCUAACAUAAUCCCCAUAGGUAGGUGACAGGAAUCUGUGAGAUGAAC